UUACGGCCAUAUCACGUUAAAACACCGAUUCCCGUACAACCACCGAAGUUAAGCAACUUCGAUCCUGGUAGUACCUAGAUGAGUGACCGCUUGAGAAUACCAGGUUCUGUAA